GGAGAGGUGUCCGAGUGGUUUAAGGAGGCGGUCUUGAAAACCGUUGAACCGCAAGGUUCCGUGGGUUCGAAUCCCACUCUCUCCGCGA
rnacentral:tRNA from 1 species